UAAGAUUUCCUGGAGAUGGACGGAUGGGCAAUAAUGAUGAAGUUCAUUGCCCUACGUUAGCAACUGGAUGGUGUUCUGGAGAUGUGAUAGGUCCUGGAAUGUGUUCCAAUAACACUGCAAAAGAUUUGAAAUAUUGUGUCCAAAACUAACUUCGGACGUUUAAUACUCUCUAUUUGCCUGAGUAUCUCUUGCCGAUGUACCCAACUGUAAAGCCAAAGAUCUGUAGCAUGAUUAUAAUUUCCUAGAUUUAAAAAGAUACAGCAAUGGAAGAAUGAGAAAUCAACUGCCUCACAAGUUUCCAUAAUUUCCGGCUGGUAAGCGACACCAUAUAUUGCAAGGCAUAUGCGAAUGAUGCAAAGUUAAAAUAUCUCAUGUUAUGAGUGAAGCUGUGAAUUUAAUCUCAACCUUAUUGGGUUGUGAGUCAACAUCAAAUACUAGUAGUAAUGAUGUCAUGAUAUUUUCCUAUCUUAUCUCGAAGAAAUCGGUUGAAAGGUUUGGAAUCUCUGGAAAAAAUGAGCGUUAGUUGUAGUGGUCUUCCAAAAUAUGAUUCCCUUCUUUUUGUUUUCAAUUUUCCUUAGAUCUGACAUUUCAUUG